rnacentral:rRNA from 1 species
AUUGAACGCUGGCGGCAUGCCUUACACAUGCAAGUCGAACGGUAACAGGUUAAGCUGACGAGUGGCGAACGGGUGAGUAAUGUAUCGGAACGUGCCCAGUCGUGGGGGAUAACUGCUCGAAAGAGCAGCUAAUACCGCAUACGACCUGAGGGUGAAAGCGGGGGAUCGCAAGACCUCGCGCGAUUGGAGCGGCCGAUAUCAGAUUAGGUAGUUGGUGGGGUAAAGGCCUACCAAGCCUACGAUCUGUAGCUGGUCUGAGAGGACGACCAGCCACACUGGGACUGAGACACGGCCCAGACUCCUACGGGAGGCAGCAGUGGGGAAUUUUGGACAAUGGACGCAAGUCUGAUCCAGCCAUGCCGCGUGCGGGAAGAAGGCCUUCGGGUUGUAAACCGCUUUUGUCAGGGAAGAAAAGGUUCUGGCUAAUACCUAGAACUCAUGACGGUACCUGAAGAAUAAGCACCGGCUAACUACGUGCCAGCCGCCGCCGUAACAC